rnacentral:rRNA from 1 species
CAGGAUGAACGCUGGCGGCGUGCCUAAUACAUGCAAGUCGAGCGAACGGACGAGAAGCUUGCUUCUCUGAUGUUAGCGGCGGACGGGUGAGUAACACGUGGAUAACCUACCUAUAAGACUGGGAUAACUUCGGGAAACCGGAGCUAAUACCGGAUAAUAUUUUGAACCGCAUGGUUCAAAAGUGAAAGACGGUCUUGCUGUCACUUAUAGAUGGAUCCGCGCUGCAUUAGCUAGUUGGUAAGGUAACGGCUUACCAAGGCAACGAUGCAUAGCCGACCUGAGAGGGUGAUCGGCCACACUGGAACUGAGACACGGUCCAGACUCCUACGGGAGGCAGCAGUAGGGAAUCUUCCGCAAUGGGCGAAAGCCUGACGGAGCAACGCCGCGUGAGUGAUGAAGGUCUUCGGAUCGUAAAACUCUGUUAUUAGGGAAGAACAUAUGUGUAAGUAACUGUGCACAUCUUGACGGUACCUAAUCAGAAAGCCACGGCUAACUACGUGCCAGCAGCCGCGGUAAUACGUAGGUGGCAAGCGUUAUCCGGAAUUAUUGGGCGUAAAGCGCGCGUAGGCGGUUUUUUAAGUCUGAUGUGAAAGCCCACGGCUCAACCGUGGAGGGUCAUUGGAAACUGGAAAACUUGAGUGCAGAAGAGGAAAGUGGAAUUCCAUGUGUAGCGGUGAAAUGCGCAGAGAUAUGGAGGAACACCAGUGGCGAAGGCGACUUUCUGGUCUGUAACUGACGCUGAUGUGCGAAAGCGUGGGGAUCAAACAGGAUUAGAUACCCUGGUAGUCCACGCCGUAAACGAUGAGUGCUAAGUGUUAGGGGGUUUCCGCCCCUUAGUGCUGCAGCUAACGCAUUAAGCACUCCGCCUGGGGAGUACGACCGCAAGGUUGAAACUCAAAGGAAUUGACGGGGACCCGCACAAGCGGUGGAGCAUGUGGUUUAAUUCGAAGCAACGCGAAGAACCUUACCAAAUCUUGACAUCCUUUGACAACUCUAGAGAUAGAGCCUUCCCCUUCGGGGGACAAAGUGACAGGUGGUGCAUGGUUGUCGUCAGCUCGUGUCGUGAGAUGUUGGGUUAAGUCCCGCAACGAGCGCAACCCUUAAGCUUAGUUGCCAUCAUUAAGUUGGGCACUCUAAGUUGACUGCCGGUGACAAACCGGAGGAAGGUGGGGAUGACGUCAAAUCAUCAUGCCCCUUAUGAUUUGGGCUACACACGUGCUACAAUGGACAAUACAAAGGGCAGCGAAACCGCGAGGUCAAGCAAAUCCCAUAAAGUUGUUCUCAGUUCGGAUUGUAGUCUGCAACUCGACUACAUGAAGCUGGAAUCGCUAGUAAUCGUAGAUCAGCAUGCUACGGUGAAUACGUUCCCGGGUCUUGUACACACCGCCCGUCAC